UGCGGCAGUAAUACGCGCAUUGGCAAGCAACUUGGUGCCAACCAAUUUCCAGUAUUUGUACGAAAUGCCUCCAGCCCUUGUUGCCACAUUUGUACUUGCGAAUAUUGUUAUAUGUAAUGUGCGGGCACAGGAACCUCCGCUAGACAGCGACUCAAACUGCAGUAAGACGGGCGAUUCCAAUUACGUUUACACAUCUUGCUCCUUUACGUGUGAAGGUGACGAAGUAAUAUCUUUGCAAAACAAUGAACCAUGCACCCUGACGAAUGAAAAAGUCGCAUCAUCGAAUAAAAAGCGCAGCGGACCCACUGGACAGUGUGUGCUUGGGAAAUGUGUCCUAAAUGGAGUCUAAUGAAAAUUCGAGUCUAACCGCCGACAGUAUACUGAUAGUGACAGUGAUGGCAAUAACGGCGCUGAUAAGCUAUUUUCAUUCCUGGAUAAUUGCUGUAUCGAGGUCAGCGACUGCUAAUUCGGAGUUUCACGAUUCUUAAUAAUAAAAUGAACUUUAAGUA